rnacentral:rRNA from 1 species
UACGUAGGGUGCGGGCGUAAUCGGAAUUACUGGGCGUAAAGCGUGCGCAGGCGGCCUCUUAAGUCAGAUGUGAAAUCCCCGGGCUUAACCUGGGAACUGCGUUUGAAACUGGGAGGCUAGAGUGUGGAAGGAGGGGGGGUAGGAAUUCCAGGUGUAGCAGUAGAAAUGCGUAGAGAUCUGGAGGAACACCGAUGGCGAAGGCAGCCCCCUGGGCUAACACUGACGCUCAUGCACGAAAGCGUGGGGAGCAAACAGG